rnacentral:rRNA from 1 species
GUCGGUGUUUUAUUUGCGCGUGAACCACCUCUUCCCAUUCCGAACAGAGAAGUGCAGCCGCGUAAACCUGAUGAUACUUGCGGCCUCGGCUGCUGGGAAAGUAGGGUAUGCCGACA